rnacentral:tRNA from 1 species
GCGGGCGUCGUAUAACGGUCAUUACCUCAGCUUCCCAAGCUGGAGACGAGGGUUCGAUUCCCUUCGCCCGCUCCA